GGAAACUUACGCUAAUACCGCAUACGACCUACGGGUGAAAGUGGGGGACCGCAAGGCCUCACGCGAUUAGAUGAGCCGAUGUCCGAUUAGCUAGUUGGCGGGGUAAUGGCCCACCAAGGCGACGAUCGGUAGCUGGUCUGAGAGGAUGAUCAGCCACACUGGAACUGAGACACGGUCCAGACUCCUACGGGAGGCAGCAGUGGGGAAUAUUGGACAAUGGGCGCAAGCCUGAUCCAGCCAUACCGCGUGGGUGAAGAAGGCCUUCGGGUUGUAAAGCCCUUUUGUUGGGAAAGAAAUCCUAUCGGUUAAUAACCGGUGGGGAUGACGGCACCCAAAGAAUAAGCACCGGCUAACUUCGUGCCAGCAGCCGCGGUAAUACGAAGGGUGCAAGCGUUACUCGGAAUGACUGGGCGUAAAGCGUGCGUAGGUGAUGGUUUAAGUCCGUUGUGAAAGCCCUGGGCUCAACCUGGGAAUUGCAGUGGAUACUGGAUCACUAGAGUGUGGUAGAGGGAUGCGGAAUUUCUGGUGUAGCAGUGAAAUGCGUAGAGAUCAGAAGGAACAUCCGUGGCGAAGGCGGCAUCCUGGGCCAACACUGACACU
rnacentral:rRNA from 1 species